rnacentral:rRNA from 1 species
CCGGGGCAUCCCGGAGGCAGGAAAGGCUUCGGCCGGACAGGGAUGGGCAUGCGGCGCAUUAGGCAGUAGGCGGGGUAACGGCCCACCUAACCGACGAUGCGUAGGGGUUCUGAGAGGAAGGUCCCCCACACUGGUACUGAGACACGGACCAGACUCCUACGGGAGGCAGCAGUGAGGAAUAUUGGUCAAUGGUCGGGAGACUGAACCAGCCAAGCCGCGUGAGGGAGGAAGGUACAGAGUAUCGUAAACCUCUUUUGUCAGGGAACAAAGACUGGGACGCGUCCCCGGAUGAGUGUACCUGAAGAAAAAGCAUCGGCUAACUCCGUGCCAGCAGCCGCGGUAAUACGGAGGAUGCGAGCGUUAUCCGGAUUUAUUGGGUUUAAAGGGUGCGCAGGCGGUCUGUUAAGUCAGCGGUCAAAGCCCGGGGCUCAACCCCGGCCCGCCGUUGAAACUGGCAGUCUCGAGUUGGAGAGAAGUAUGCGGAAUGCGCGGUGUAGCGGUGAAAUGCAUAGAUAUCGCGCAGAACUCCGAUUGCGAAGGCAGCAUGCCGGCUCCACACUGACGCUGAGGCACGAAAGCGUGGGUAUCGAACAGGAUUAGAUACCCUGGUGGUCCACGCAGUAAACGAUGAAUAAUGGCUGUCCGGG